rnacentral:rRNA from 1 species
ACGGAAGGCAGCAGUGGGGAAUAUUGCACAAUGGGCGCAAGCCUGAUGCAGCGAUGCCGCGUGAGGGAAGAAGGUUUUCGGAUUGUAAACCUCUGUCAACAGGGACGAAAAUGACUGUACCUGUGAAGGAAGCCACGGCCAACUACGUGCCAGCAGCCGCGGUAAUACGUAGGUGGCAAGCGUUAUCCGGAUUUACUGGGUGUAAAGGGCGCGUAGGCGGGGAUGCAAGUCAGAUGUGAAAUCUAUGGGCUCAACUCAUAAACUGCAUUUGAAACUGUAUCUCUUGAGUGCUGGAGAGGUAGAUGGAAUUCCUUGUGUAGCGGUGAAAUGCGUAGAUAUAAGGAAGAACACCAGUGGCGAAGGCGAUCUACUGGACAGUAACUGACGCUGAGGCGCGAGAGCGUGGGGAGCAAACAGGAUUAGAUACCCUGGUA